UGUCAGAAGUGGGAUUCGAACCACGCCCACAAGAGUGGACAGCGACAUGAACGCAGCGCCUUACACUUCUCGGCCAUAAUAAC